rnacentral:tRNA from 1 species
GAUGGUUUAACCCCUUCCCUUAUUA